rnacentral:RNase_P_RNA from 1 species
UGAGCGGGCCAGGCGACCGCUGCCGGCCGAAAGGCCGGUGGAGGAAAGUCCGAACUGGACAGGGCACGGCGAUGGCUAACAGCCACCGGGCGCAAGCCCAGGGAAAGUGCCACAGAAAAGACACCGCGACCACGGCCCAGCGUCGUGGGCGUAAGGGUGAAAAGGUGCGGUAAGAGCGCACCGCGCGGCCGGCGACGGUCGUGGCAGGGCAAACCCCGCCGCCAGCAAGCCCAAAUAAGGGGCGAUGAGCCGGCCCGGCUCGUUACCAGCCCCGGGUAGGGUGCUUGAGCCGGUCAGCAAUGGCCGGCCCAGAGGAAUGGCCGCCGCCCGACAGGCCUCGCCGACGCGCAGCAAGCUGGGCCUCGUGCCCUUAGGCCCUGCCGCCGGCUAAGCCGUUCGCAAAGAGCGGCGACGGACGUCGGGAACAGAAUUCGGCUUACGGCCCGCUCGCUGU